rnacentral:rRNA from 1 species
AGACCCGAAACCCGGUGAUCUAGCCAUGGGCAGGUUGAAGGUUGGGUAACACUAACUGGAGGACCGAACCGACUAAUGUUGAAAAAUUAGCGGAUGACCUGUGGCUGGGGGUGAAAGGCCAAUCAAACCGGGAGAUAGCUGGUUCUCCCCGAAAGCUAUUUAGGUAGCGCCUCGUGAAUUCAUCUCCGGGGGUAGAGCACUGUUUCGGCUAGGGGGCCAUCCCGGCUUACCAACCCGAUGCAAACUGCGAAUACCGGAGAAUGUUAUCACGGGAGACACACGGCGGGUGCUAACGUCCGUCGUGAAGAGGGAAACAACCCAGACCGCCAGCUAAGGUCCCAAAGUCAUGGUUAAGUGGGAAACGAUGUGGGAAGGCCCAGACAGCCAGGAUGUUGGCUUAGAAGCAGCCAUCAUUUAAAGAAAGCGUAAUAGCUCACUGGUCGAGUCGGCCUGCGCGGAAGAUGUAACGGGGCUAAACCAUGCACCGAAGCUGCGGCAGCGAACGUAUCACUUAAAGCGAUUCAGCGGGUUACGAUUGACGGAGCGAAGCGACGUCAAAGCGU